UCCGAAUGAUAAAUAUUUUUUCUUCGAGCAGCAAACUUAUCUAACAAUAGCCAUUAUCCCCAUCAUAUAACUACCAUUAUAUUGAGGUAAUAUACAGGUUUUAACUUAAUAUAUUUCAUGAUCACUAAGCCAUGGGUCAAAUUGACAUGUUAGGGUCAUAAUCGGGCUAUUUGAGAUUGGCUAGGUGAUCGACUCUUUGUUUAAAAGAUGAGUUUUAUUUAAACAAUUGAGAUCUAAUUGAUUUGA
rnacentral:lncRNA from 1 species